CGAUAGCUUACCUCAAGACCGGAAGGAGAGAGAGUGAGAGAGAACUUCCUCCCCCAAACCCUAUAUUUUGCAGGCAGAUGAGAGAGAGAGAGGAGGAAGGGAUGGGGAUCUCGAGGAGGAGGAGGAGGAGGAGGAGAUUUCAUGCGAGGGGGGUUGACAGAAGAGAGUGAGCACACAGCGGGGGAAAAUGGCAUGCGACGGUGCUGUUUCCGUUGCGUGCUCACUUCUCUUCCUGUCAGCCUUUUGUUGUUCCUUCCUUUUUUGAGCCAUGCCUGGAGAUGCGAUCCCGUUCCCCUUCCGUGCUUAUCCGUCGCCGAUCUCCUCUCGGGAGCUUCGUCUCGAUCCGUGCUUCGCUUCGCUUUGCUGUGCUGUCGGUCUUAUCUUAUCUGCCUGUCCGCCCGUCGGAUUUCUCCGGGCGAAGAGAGACCGAUGCUUGAUGUCGUUAAAUCUCUUGGCGUUGCGUGCCUAAAUGGCUUCUUUUCUUAAUUAUUUGCCUUUGUUCAAGAAAUUGUUGGUCAGAUUUUUCGGAUAAUUAAGGAAAUUGUGCAGGAGGAAGCGUGACUUUUGAGAAGGCAGGUGGGUUGGAGGGAGGGGACUGUCCGUCUCUGCGUGGGUUGGAUUCGAGCGAGAGAGAGAGAGAGAGAGAGAGAGGGGAGAGUACACUAGGCCUCUCAUUCAACAGAGUGUGCGGCCUUGACGGGAGCCACUGUUUGACACGUCCUGCCCUUCUUUCUCUUCUGUCUUCUUUGUUGUUUGCUUGCCCUUUUUUUCUCCCUCUUCCUUGUCUCUUUUUUUUUUUUGCCUGUUUUGGACAGGAUUUGGAGUAUCUCGGAAAGGAAGAUGGGAUGAAGCUGUAGGGAUUUGUGGAGGGAAGGUGAUCUCGAAGUUCAUCUCUACCGUCUUCCACGGUUGCUUCACCACGUCGGAGAAAGACCAUUACCUCGCCGCACUCAUCGGUCGUUGCUUUGCUGAGUUGAAGAAAGAUUCAUUACACGCCAUGAUCCGUUGACUGAUUCUUUUGAAACAAUGGAAGAAGAUGACUUUUCUACUGCUUUCUUCACUCUGGUGUGAAUGGUGGUGACGUUAAACGAAGACUAAACAGAAGCACAUCCAGCGACCACAGGUUGAAGUUGACCAUGGAACUCCGAUAAGUAAAUCUUGAUGUUGUCAUUUGCACGAAGAAACCUCUCCAUGGAUGAGUCUCCUAGAACUUCUCUAGAUGGAAAAUGAUUCACGUCUUUGAAUUUAUCAUUGUAUAACCAUAGCUUGAGUCUCUAGAGCCAUGGAUUUUUUGACGCUCAAGGAUUGAGUUCUCCACUGGGUCAUGCAGGAUAUGAGAAAGGCAUCAAUGGAGUAAACUUAUAGAUAUAGUGCUGUCAAGUAUCAGCUUGAAGAACAAGGGAAGUAUCAGAAAUCCCAGAUACGGAGAUAGCGCAAUAACAAAAUUCUCUUUCUACAUGGUUCUGCAGAUUGUCAAAAUUUUCUCCGGUUGGUGGCUUGGAACUUUUGAAUUCACAAUCUAGCAUGGAUGGAAACAUGGUUUGUUGGCUGAUUGAUUCCUUUUGGUCUAAUCCCCACCGAAAUGGUGUUGAUCUUUAGCUUCUUCCUCCCCCACUUUCUUUUUAGGAUUUGCAUCUAUUGUCAGUGUUCUUUGGCUGCG